UACGGAGGGGACUAGCGUUGUUCGGAAUUACUGGGCGUAAAGCGCACGUAGGCGGAUUGUAAGUCAGGGGUGAAAUCCCGGGCUCAACCUCGGAACUGCCUUUGAUACUGCAAAUCUCGAGUCCGAUAGAGGUGGGUGGAAUUCCUAGUGUAGAGGUGAAAUUCGUAGAUAUUAGGAAGAACACCGGUGGCGAAGGCGGCUACUGGUC
rnacentral:rRNA from 1 species